rnacentral:rRNA from 1 species
AAGGGAAAGGCUUAGUGGCGGACGGGUGAGUAACGCGUGGGUAACCUGGCCCAUACAGGGGGAUAGCACUUAGAAAUAGGUGCUAAUACCGCAUAACAACAGAAAGCGCAUGCUUUUUGUUUGAAAACCAAGGUGGUAUGGGAUGGACCCGCGUCUGAUUAGCUGGUUGGCGGGGUAAAGGCCCACCAAGGCGACGAUCAGUAGCCGGCCUGAGAGGGUGGACGGCCACAUUGGGACUGAGACACGGCCCAAACUCCUACGGGAGGCAGCAGUGGGGAAUAUUGCACAAUGGGGGAAACCCUGAUGCAGCGACGCCGCGUGAGUGAAGAAGUAAUUCGUUAUGUAAAGCUCUAUCAGCAGGGAAGAAAAUGACGGUACCUGAGUAAGAAGCCCCGGCUAACUACGUGCCAGCAGCCGCGGUAAUACGUAGGGGGCAAGCGUUAUCCGGAUUUACUGGGUGUAAAGGGAGCGUAGACGGCAGUGCAAGUCUGGAGUGAAAGGCGGGGGCUCAACCCCCGGACUGCUCUGGAAACUGUACGGCUGGAGUGCAGGAGAGGUAAGUGGAAUUCCUAGUGUAGCGGUGAAAUGCGUAGAUAUUAGGAGGAACACCAGUGGCGAAGGCGGCUUACUGGACUGUAACUGACGUUGAGGCUCGAAAGCGUGGGGAGCAAACAGGAUUAGAUACCCUGGUAGU